rnacentral:tRNA from 1 species
GCCUAGUUAGCUUGGUUGGUAGCGCGUCUGCCUUGUAAGCGCUAGGCCGCGGGUUCCAUUCCCGCCCGUGGCA